rnacentral:lncRNA from 1 species
AUGUAUUGUUCCUUUGGUGAUUGUGAUUGUAUUGGGCUCCCCUUAAUUGCUUGCGAAGGGAAUCCAUGCUUGGGAUGAUAAAAUGUUCUUAUGUUGACCAAAAAAAAAAAAAAAACAAAACCAAUGGAACAAAUGUAAACACCGUCGCAACCACCACCGGUAAUUGAACACAACCUCAUUCCCUUACAAAAACUCAUACUCACCUAGGGUUCACAACCCCUAACUUCAUAUCUAUCCCUCUUUCUCCUUCACCAGUUCACCCACCCAUGUACCUCCAUACACGCCACCGCCAUUUCCACUGUGGUUCUUCUUGAACGUUGUAGAACAUCGCCGUCUUUCUCUCUCUAGAACGUAUAUGUUUACAAAGUCCCUGUAAAAAAACCAUCUUGUUGAACAACCACGUGGUCGCUACCGAAGCCGGAUCUGGUAUAGAUCUAGACACGCAGUCUCCUCGUCUUCGUCAGAAACCCACCGACAGUCACCGCCACUCUAGGAGGUCCACCGACGCCGUUGAAAUCGGUGUCGGCGGUUCUUCCUCCGAAGUUUAACGGUUUCUUCUGGUGGCCAAAACGAUUUAGCAUACUUUUGGCCAGAAAAUAAAUAAAUUUCUGAUAUGUAAUUGACCCGAUCUCUCUGUCAUUCAUCGGUGUAGAAAACUGCAAGUGUGAGUUUACUUUGGUUCUUUCUUACUCUAAUUUCAACAUAUUAACGGCCGUUACCGUCAAUUCACUAUUGUUCAGUUAUGUUUGAAAUUAAUAUAGGUAUAUGAAUAUAGGUAUAUGAAUUAGCCUUUGUUUGACUGUAAAAGUCAAAACUGAAGUCUGUUACCAUACCUCUAACUUGCCACUAAGUUCAGAAGCCAAACGUUUAUUAAUGUCCUCAGAAUACAUUGUCCGGUACUCUUGUUCGAUAUACGCCCGUUGUGUUGCGUCUCGAUGAGCAAGAAUACCAAUCACAGCAGCAUUAUCACACCCAUAUCCUGGA